CCCCGCCACAUUAUUUGUGUAUGUGCCUGUCCCAAGUCAGGAGCCUGUAAUUCAGUGGUUGUCGUUUGUUUAUGUGUUACAUAUUUGUUUUUCGUUCAUUUUUUUUUACAUAAAUAAGGUCGUUAGUUUUCUCGUUUGAAUUGUUUUACAUUGUCUUAUCGGGGCCUUUUAUAGCUGACCAUGCGGUAUGGGCUUUGCUCAUUGUUGAAGGCCGUACGGUGACCUAUAGUUGUUAAUGUCUGUGUCAUUUUGGUGUUUUGUGGAUAGUUGUCUCAUUGGCAAUCAUACCACAUAUUCUUUUUUAUAU
rnacentral:lncRNA from 1 species